UCUUUAAGGAGUCUUCAGUCUUCACCCCUCGCGUGCUCAGCACAGCGGUGGCCAGAUAAAACUUUGCAGCUGGAGACAUGAGGGAGCUGUCGCUGCGAGAGGGCGACGUCGUGAAGAUCUACAGCGAGAUCGGAGGAGACCUGGGCUGGUGGAAGGGAGAGGCCAACGGACGAAGCAGCAGCAGGAAUCUGCUCAUCCCUGGAAGAAAACACCGGAACAACUCAUCCGCUCUGGCACUCUCUCCAUUUUUUCUUUGCUGGUGAAGGAAUACAUUUACUUUAGUUCCAGUGAAAUCGUGUCUUUGAGGCUGUGACUCUCAGACGUAGGCGUGUUGCCAUGCAACAAGACAGAACUUAGUGUAAAUGCACCCAAAUUAAAGCGUAGACGUCAGUCAGGUGUUUCUCUCCAGGAUUGUAAUGAUGUUUGUCCUACAUAAGAUUUUCCUAAAGUCAGUCAGACUUCUUUUGUUAUUUCCUUUUUUUUUUUUAUGGAACGUCAGGAAGUGCUUCCACUUUCUCUGUGGUUUGAACCUAAACAACAUUUGUCAUGUUGCCAGAUGAAAAGAUAAUGAGUCACAUAAAAGUAGGAGCUCACAUAUUCAGAAAUCAUCAUCGCUCUGUUGUUCCUCUCAGUUCACUCACACACUCUGUUGUAUGGCCUGCAGCUCUGUGUUUACUGUGAUUCGUCUCAGUUCUCACACUAAAGUCAAGCAGGAUUUUAAUAAAAAAGAAACCUGUGUUUCUCUGUGUAUCUGCUACAGAUGAUUGAUCAUUUCCCAAAACAAUAUGUGGCUGUUUUCAGAGAUGAUGCAGCUUUAACUGAAGCUUCUGUUCUAUCUGAACGUCGUCAUGUUUUAAUUCUAACUUACAGUAAAUGAUACGUUUAAAAACAACCUCAGCUGAACAACAGAAGCUUCAGUUAGAGCUGCAUCACAUCAGUGACAGUGUCGGUGUCAGUGAUGUCAUGUUUGAUACCGGAUGUCGUUGGAGAAAUCCUUCUCAUAGUCAAAUCUGUGUCUCAGUUCCAGAAGAGCAGCCCGAUGAAGACCAGCAGGAUGAUGAUGAGGAGCAGAGAACCCAUAUAUAUAGUGUAUAUAGUAUAGUAUACAUAGUGAUAUAUGUAUAACUGUUCAUUUCACCUAAAGAUCUUAACUGUGAGUUAUGGACAGAGGAUGAGGACAGAAGAGCUACUGUAUCAGGUCAUAACGUGCACAAAGACAUUAUAUUCAUCACCUGUGACUCACUGCUUUCUCUUUCAGUAUAGUUUCCUACUGUUACAUGUUACACUGUUACUGUGACUAACUGUUACAUUGUGACACUGUGACUGUUGCUGUUCGAUUUUCUCUUAGGUGUGUUUGCUCUCGGGUUGAUCCUGCAGUGUUCAGCUCCUACAGCGUUGUUCACCUCACAAACGUAGAUUCCUGCCAGACUCUGUUUGUCCUUAAACUGACCAGUGUCAGCUGGACAGGGAUUCAAACCGAUGACCUUUUCACUGUGAGGCACCAGUGCUAGCCACUACUCCCCCGUGUCCCCAAUUUGCAACUUCUUAGCAUCUGGUCCUUCUGUGUGGUGUCUGGACUGACCACAGACCAUUCGAUGUCGAGUUCUCCGGUGUCAGAAGGGCUCGGCUCGUAGCUGCUCUCUCCCUCGGCUUUCUGGAGCGUCUGUGGACCCGUGGAUGUCACCUGCAUUCCUGCGGCGCUUCGGAAUUCUUCAGAAAAACACAAAGUUUUAUCAGUCACAGAUUGUUCGGUGUCUACAGACGCCGCUUCCAAACGUGUGGAGACGGAAUUAAAGAGUGAGAGUGACAGUGAAGUGUCCACUGCAACAAGCUCCUCCUCUCAUCAUCAUCAUCAUCAUCAUCAUCACAAAGGCACCUGUUGGACGACACGCCUCCAUCUGAAGUCUGAACGCUGAGUGUGUUUGUGCUGCAGAUCAAACACAGGGUCGGGGGUCGGAGGUCGGAGGUCGGACUCUGUCCACGGAAACACCUGCAGCCACCGGUGUCCACCACUGGGACUUU